AAUUUAUACAAAAUAAUAUUGAAUCAGAAUCACUAGAAGUUAAAAUUUGAACAACGCACAAAUAUUUUACAAAAUGGACCAUAAAAAAAACAAAAAAAAACAAGACCAUUCAGUAUCUUUAAUAAAAUAAGAAAAAAAAUAUGGCUGUGUUAAUUAAAACAAUUCUAAUAUUUAAGCAGUAACAACAAAUGCUUAUUUUUUUUUUUUUUUUACAUUUGGGGGGGG